GAAACGACUGCUAAGACUGGAUAGGAGACAAGAAGGCAUCUUCUUGUUUUUAAAAGACCUAGCAAUAGGUAUGCUUAGGGAGGAGCUUGCGUCACAUUAGUUAGUUGGUGGGGUAAAGGCCUACCAAGACUAUGAUGUGUAGCCGGGCUGAGAGGUUGAACGGCCACAUUGGGACUGAGACACGGCCCAAACUCCUACGGGAGGCAGCAGUAGGGAAUUUUCGGCAAUGGAGGAAACUCUGACCGAGCAACGCCGCGUGAACGAUGAAGUAUUUCGGUACGUAAAGUUCUUUUAUUAGGGAAGAAUAAAUGAUGGAAAAAUCAUUCUGACGGUACCUAAUGAAUAAGCCCCGGCUAACUAUGUGCCAGCAGCCGCGGUAAUACAUAGGGGGCAAGCGUUAUCCGGAAUUAUUGGGCGUAAAGGGUGCGUAGGCGGUUAAAUAAGUUUAUGGUCUAAGUGCAAUGCUCAACAUUGUGAUGCUAUAAAAACUGUUUAGCUAGAGUAAGAUAGAGGCAAGUGGAAUUCCAUGUGUAGUGGUAAAAUGCGUAAAUAUAUGGAGGAACACCAGUAGCGAAGGCGGCUUGCUGGGUCUUUACUGACGCUGAGGCACGAAAGCGUGGGGAGCAGACAGGAUUAGAUACCCUGGUAGUCCACGCCGUAAACGAUGAGUACUAAACGUUGGGUAAAACCAGUGUUGAAGUUAACACAUUAAGUACUCCGCCUGAGUAGUACGUACGCAAGUAUGAAACUUAAAGGAAUUGACGGGACUCCGCACAAGCGGUGGAUCAUGUUGUUUAAUUCGAAGGUACCCGAAAAACCUCACCAGGUCUUGACAUGCUUCUGCAAAGCUGUAGAAACACAGUGGAGGUUAUCAGUUGCACAGGUGGUGCAUGGUUGUCGUCAGCUCGUGUCGUGAGAUGUUGGGUUAAGUCCCGCAACGAGCGCAACCCUUAUUGUUAGUUACCAGCACGUAAUGGUGGGGACUUUAGCAAGACUGCCAGUGAUAAAUUGGAGGAAGGUGGGGACGACGUCAAAUCAUCAUGCCCCUUAUGACCUGGGCUACAAACGUGAUACAAUGGCUGUUACAAAGGGUAGCUGAAGCGCAAGUUUUUGGCGAAUCUCAAAAAAACAGUCUCAGUUCGGAUUGAAGUCUGCAACUCGACUUCAUGAAGUUGGAAUCGCUAGUAAUCGCGAAUCAGCAUGUCGCGGUGAAUACGUUCUCGGGGUUUGUACACACCGCCCGUCA
rnacentral:rRNA from 1 species